AGGUGGGUUUCUUCCUUCCUCCCUUCCUUCCUUUUUCUUUUUCACCCAAGUGAACAAUCUCUGCCUUUUCAAAGAAGUAUAACGGCACUUUUGACACGAUUACUGGUACAGUUAUCUUUAUACCUGUCCUCUUGCUGUGGCGUUUCUAUUUGUCCCAUCUUUGUUUCCCUCCCCCCCUUUCCCUGCCUUCUUCUGGUUUGAGGUUUUUUUAAAUAGACUUUUUCAGAGCAGCUUUAGGUGGGGCCUUUGGCAGGUGUUCUGCUCUAAGUCCCCACUGGCUGCCCGGUGGCCAGACUGUGAUGACCAUGGGCUGUGGUGAUUUCAGGGCUCACCCGGGUGUUUUCCAGGUCAGGAUCACUCUCCUUUGCCUGAUGCUGAGUCCUGAGCCCUGUUGUUUCACGUAUUUUGUCUGGCCUUUUGGUUGUUUGAGGAAGGAGAGAAAAAUCUAGUUCCUGUUCCUCCCUCUUGGUUAGGAGUGAAAGUCCUCCUGUGUAUGAUUUUUAAAAUGAAAGUAUAUUUCUUUUUUGUAGAGGUUAGGCAAAAUGGCCUUCUUUCUUGGUUAAAGCUUCCUGGUUAAAGGUUACUCCAGGGCCUGUUGGAGAGAAAUCAGGCGGCCUGAAAUCUCAGGCUACUUUUGGAAUUUGCAGCACUUCAUGGGGGCGCUUCAGCUUGAGGGCAAGGACUCUCAGUUCCCAGAGGGUGGCGUGUGAGAUCAAAGCAGUCCCAGUAGCUACAGCUGAGGGCAGCCCCCAGGGUCAGCCAGCUUGGCUGGCGGUCAAGAGGAGAAAGUGAGUCAAUACCUGUGGCCCCGAAGCCCCUCACUGGAAGUUGUGGGUUUCUGUGUCCUGGUUUCAGGCCAGUCCACCCUGAAAGCUUCCUCAAGUGCAUGAGAUGGAGAAGAUCAGCAGACACUUCCCCCCAGGCAAGCCCUGCGCUGGGCACCUGACAUCUGCCACUCUGGGCCCAGAGGCCCUGACCUGAGGCCCUCGGGUUUGGGGUUUGUGUUUUGGGCUUUAGGAUUUUUCACGGUUUCCAGAGGCAACAUGGCCCGUACUCCACACAGUGCCCAGGACCCUCGGCGCUGGGAAGGAACCUCGUCAGUGUUUCUGGAGGGUAGAACAUUCACACAGGCAGGGGGGCUAGGCUAUUUUUGCCGCCCUGUGAGUUAAGGGAGGCCUGCGGUCUAGGAGAGCUAUGAAUCUUGGAAUCGCAGAGGAGAGCCUGGGGACCUGUCCUUGUGUCUCCUGCUCUGAUGGGUGGGGCAGCUGAGCCCCAACAGGUCAAGUGACUGUCCACAGCCACCUGACGGUAAGUAGCAGGCGGGGCCCUCAAUCACGGCCUGCACAUUUGUCCGCUGCGCUGCCACUGCCUGUCACGCCCGGCUCAGUUCUCGCCUUCCUGAGGCCUUCCCCAACCGAACCAGCCCAGGGCUGUCGUGUGCCAGGGAGGGACCCCUGCGUUCAGUGAUUCAUUCCACUUGCCCUCUUCUGUGGCCUUCAGCUCACAGUUUAGCCAGAAGUCAAAGUUUUGUUGCAGUGGACAGCCAUCAACAUACAUUCUUAGAUUUAGAUGUCUCUGCUUUCCUUCUGUGCAGUGGGUCCCCAAAGCAGGCCUGCUGGUCAGAGGGCCUCUACUGUUUUGAUUCGGUCACGCAUGAGCAGCCUGCUGUCACGGAUCGGAGCGUCCCAGUGUCAGGAGCCGGCCGAGUGCCCCCCCCCCCCACAGCCGCCCCGCCUCCACAGCCCCGCCCGCGGAGGAUCUCAGCUAUGCACACAGCUAACACAUGGGGAUCCACAGUGUCCACAGACCUUUGAAACGAAGCAGCGCCUUCACGCUGACUUGACAUCUGUCUUCUGUCCUGUACAUACACUCUGAGAUCUAUUUCUGGGUCGUCUGUUCGGAUCCAGGGAGACCUGCCUCUUCCUGGGUCAGGACCUGCAUCCUGCUUUUAGAAUCAGGCAAAAAAGUUGUCAUCCUCAUAAUCCUCCUCCUCCUCAUUAUUUAAAAUAACAAUGCCUUUGGAGUCACUGCAGAGCCCUAAUGGAAACCAAAAUGCCUGGCAGCCAGGAGGCCUCGGUGAAGGGUCUCGUGGGCCCCAACCAGGAGGCGAGAUCAGGGAGGAGAGAAAUAAGGACCCGCUGCUUAUAAAAUAAAGUUUUCCCUUUUAUUUCAAAUCAA